UACGUAGGGACCGAGCGUUGUCCGGAAUCAUUGGGCGUAAAGGGUGCGUAGGCGGCGCGGUAAGUCGGGUGUGAAAUCUCGGGGCUUAACUCCGAAACUGCAUUCGAUACUGCCGUGCUUGAGGACUGGAGAGGAGACUGGAAUUUACGGUGUAGCGGUGAAAUGCGUAGAUAUCGUAAGGAAGACCAGUGGCGAAGGCGGGUCUCUGGACAGUUCCUGACGCUGAGGCACGAAGGUCAGGGGAGCAAACGGG
rnacentral:rRNA from 1 species